CUAACUUGUGGCCUCCCCUGCCCCCUAUGGACAGGGGGACCUCCGCCUCCGUUCAAGAGCGGAUCUUCUCUCACCCUCUUUUAUGUCGUUUAUAUAUAGAGAUUUUAUUUUUGGCAAGUCCAAAACUUGUAUUGGUGAGGGGAUUUGAUUGUCCUGAACAGCCUUGAAGUGUAGGUUGUUGGUAUGUUUUCUAGGUUUGUGAUAGACAUGGAAGCUUUCUCUGUCGGUGGGUGCUAAUAUGUUUAUGCAUGGUACAGAAACAGUCUGUAUUGCAUGGUGGUGGUUAUUCCAGAGCGCAAUCAAAAGGGUUGGCCCCGAGG
rnacentral:misc_RNA from 1 species